AAAUAACCACGUGUUACCCAUCAUAAGAGAUGAUAUCAAGGAAGUUCAGAACGAAUGUCAAACUGUUGACAAUAAAGAAACGUGUGAGUCCGGGGAUACUUAUGUCACUCUUAUCCCUAAUCAUGUCUCCAUUGCAACAAGGAAGCUAUAGUAGAUUCUAACACCCAAAACAAUCCAGUUCAAUAUCACAAGAGUCAGCAUUAAUUUUUAUGGUUAACAACUGUUUGUGUCAAAAAUAAAAAAAACACUCAUAUUAUUUCAAAAGUAUCUUAGUACCGAGUAAUGCAAAACAUAUAAAUGAUGUAAUUAGUACAGUGUUAGUGUACGUUUUAAUAGAAAAUCCUUGUAUACAAUUAAAAUACUUUGUAUACAAUAUUCCUUGCUAUUCAUCUUUUUUAGCUCAUUUGAGUUGUAAGUUUAUGAAGGCUACGCUCUGCUGGCGACCUUAGUUAUCAGUCUCUGUCCUUCAGUCUGUUCGUCCGUCCGUCUGUCCGUCUGAUAUCACUUGUCUCCCCUUGGCCCACUCUGGCCCAAACUUCACCCACAGAGUGCCUUUCCUUAAAGAGUGUGCAUUGACUUUGAACCAAGUUUUUUGGACUAAGGUUAAGAUCUCAAAGCUGAGUUAAAGGAAAACUCUUUGUCCAGAUUAUAAAUUUUCUCCUCUUGGUCCAAUCUGGUUCACUCUUUAUCAAAAGAGUGCCUAUGGAUAAAGAGUGUCGAGUCAAGGUCAUAUCAGAUUACACAUAGUCUUUUUUUCCAGAAUAUAUAUACUCCAUUUCCCCUUACCUUUAUCUGGCUCAUACUUCACAUAAACAGAGCUCUUUGGUGAAGGGUGUGGAGUAACCUCAACCAAGUUUUAAAGUCAUGUGUAGUAUAAAUCAUAGCACAUCUCUUUUAAAUUCAGUUUUCGACUUUAAAUUAUUUCCCAGUGGCUUAAUCUUCUUCAGAUUAAACCGAAAAAUGCCUGUAGGCUUGAAUUACAGUGUUUAUACCAACUGAAAAAUUUCAAGGUCAUAGGUUAGGGUCAAAGAAAAAUCCUCUAAAAUGCUUUUCUUUUAUUAUUUAAGCGGCGCCCUUUGAAAUGUUCACAAUCUUAACGAGAUUUAGUUGUAAUUACUGUGGCUUUAUUGGUGUUAACGAAAAGUUUAUUUACUUAUAAGAUCUACCAUUGAAUGGAUUUUAUUUAUUUUUUUAACGUUAUAUAUAAUUUAGCUAAGAAAAAUACUUGAAUAUUUUUCUAUAUCCUUAUAGGGAGUUCUUAUUGAGGAGAUUAUUAAGGCCCUACAAUAAUAACGACCAUCUAGUCCUCCUAAACUUGUUCCGUUCUGUAAGACAACGGCAUGGCUGUAUUCAGUUUGCAACAAAACCGAAACAUUUAGACAUUAUACAAUCAGAACCCACCCCCCCCCCCCCCCCCCCCCCCCCCCCCUUUGUGUCAUUUUUGUCUUUAUUUAAAUUUAUAUUAACUUCAGAAUCUGAUUUAUAAAAGAUGGAUCAUGUUAUUUUAUAUAAAGUUUCAACAGUACAUGUAAGAG
rnacentral:misc_RNA from 1 species